UAUCUAUAAAUUGAGGACCAAAUCCAACACAAUGUAUCAUCCAAAAAUACUCGAAUAUCAUCGUCCAAAUUUCAAUCUCCAAUAGCAUGGGUGCUAAAGUAAUCACUACUAUUCUUGAGAUUUUGCUCCUCAUUGCUCUCAUAAUGUCUUCUCAAGUUGUUGUAGCCAGGGAACUUGCACAGACUGCCAUUGUAGAAUGUGAUAGGACAAAGAUUGAUCAAGAGGCUCCACCGUCAUACCAAACCCCCUGCUACAACUACUCUCCGCCCAAGCCCAUCCAUCAUCCUUGAGUAUUCAACUUCGAACUACAGAAUUUGGCAAUUUUAUCAAUAUAGGAGUAUUAUUUUAAUUUCAUAUUUUAAAUUGUGUUAUAGAAAAGGUUCUGCGCCUUUGUAUAAUUUGUUGCGAUAACAGUCAAGCUUCUACUCUGUAAUAUUGUGCCAGAAGAUCAAAUGGAAUAUAAAUUUUUAUAUGAAAAA